AUCUGGCCGAGGAUGAAGCGCUGCUGCAGGCGGAGCCGCUGGUUGUGGCGCGCGAAGGAGCGGCGAGGCAGUGCUGCGCUCGAUGGAGACGGUGCGACUGGCUGUGGAUCGCGCCUCUGCUGUUGCUGGCUAAGGUCGACGCAGGCGCAGUCACAGCAAGAAAGAAGCAGAGAGGAAGAAGGAAAGGGAAAGAAAGAAAGAAAGAAGAAAGAAGAAGA
rnacentral:lncRNA from 1 species